rnacentral:rRNA from 1 species
ACCCGAGACUCAGUGAAAUUGAACUCGCUGUGAAGAUGCAGUGUACCCGCGGCAAGACGGAAAGACCCCGUGAACCUUUACUAUAGCUUGACACUGAACAUUGAGCCUUGAUGUGUAGGAUAGGUGGGAGGCUUUGAAGCGUGGACGCCAGUCUGCGUGGAGCCAACCUUGAAAUACCACCCUUUAAUGUUUGAUGUUCUAACGUUGGCCCCUAAUCGGGGUUGCGGACAGUGUCUGGUGGGUAGUUUGACUGGGGCGGUCUCCUCCCAAAGCGUAACGGAGGAGCACGAAGGUUAGCUAAUCCUGGUCGGACAUCAGGAGGUUAGUGCAAUGGCAUAAGCUAGCUUGACUGCGAGCGUGACGGCGCGAGCAGGUGCGAA